CAGCCUGCUAAAUAGUCGCGCGGGCCUUCUGCUCGGGUGAAGGGUCGGCCUCGGCGCGGCGGCUUGCCGUCGCGCCCGCCGGCCCGGAUCCUUGAUGAGCCCGCGAGUGCACUUCUUAGAGGGACUAUUAGUAUCUAGCUAAUGGAAGUUUGAGGCAAUAACAGGUCUGUGAUGCCCUUAGAUGUUCUGGGCUGCACGCGCGCUACACUGACAGAUUCAACGAGUCUAACACCUUGGCCGUCGGGUCCGGGUAAUCUUCUGAAACUCUGUCGUGCUGGGGAUAGAUCAUUGCAAUUAUUGGUCUUCAACGAGGAAUUCCUAGUAAGCGCAAUUCAUCAGAUUGCGCUGAUUACGUCCCUGCCCUUUGUACACACCGCCCGUCGCUCC
rnacentral:rRNA from 1 species